GACGAACGCUGGCGGCGUGCUUAACACAUGCAAGUCGAACGGAAAGGCCCUGCUUUUGUGGGGUGCUCGAGUGGCGAACGGGUGAGUAACACGUGAGUGACCUGCCCUUGACUUUGGGAUAACUUCAGGAAACUGGGGCUAAUACCGGAUAGGACCUCCUGCUGCAUGGUGGGUGUUGGAAAGUUUCGGCGGUUGGGGAUGGACUCGCGGCUUAUCAGCUUGUUGGUGGGGUAGUGGCUUACCAAGGCUGUGACGGGUAGCCGGCCUGAGAGGGUGACCGGCCACAUUGGGACUGAGACACGGCCCAGACUCCUACGGGAGGCAGCAGUGGGGAAUAUUGCACAAUGGGCGGAAGCCUGAUGCAGCAACGCCGCGUGCGGGAUGACGGCCUUCGGGUUGUAAACCGCUUUCGCCUGUGACGAAGCGUGAGUGACGGUAAUGGGUAAAGAAGCACCGGCUAACUACGUG
rnacentral:rRNA from 1 species